GAUGAACGCUGGCGGCGUGCCUAAUACAUGCAAGUCGAGCGAACAGAUGAGGAGCUUGCUCCUCUGACGUUAGCGGCGGACGGGUGAGUAACACGUGGAUAACCUACCUAUAAGACUGGGAUAACUUCGGGAAACCGGAGCUAAUACCGGAUAAUAUAUUGAACCGCAUGGUUCAAUAGUGAAAGACGGUUUUGCUGUCACUUAUAGAUGGAUCCGCGCCGCAUUAGCUAGUUGGUAAGGUAACGGCUUACCAAGGCAACGAUGCGUAGCCGACCUGAGAGGGUGAUCGGCCACACUGGAACUGAGACACGGUCCAGACUCCGACGGGAGGCAGAAGUAGGGAAUCUACCGCAAUGGGCGAAAGCCUGACGAAGCAACGCCGCGUGGGCGAUGAAGGUCUUCGGAUCGUAAAACGCUGUUAUUAGGGAAGAACAAAUGUGUAAGUAACUAUGCACGUCUUGACGGUACCGAAGCAGAAAGCCACGGCUAACUACGG
rnacentral:rRNA from 1 species